rnacentral:piRNA from 1 species
UAGCCUCGCACCCCACGGCAUAACGCAGC